GCUGAACCUGGAGCAUGUGACACCUUUGAUCCAGGUUCAUCAGACUGGAUCUGCACCUCCUCCCUGAUCUUCCCCUCCGCCUCCUGUUGCUCCAUUCAUUCCAUCAUUCCAUUCUCCUGUUCCUCCUUCUGCAUCGGCGUCGUAACAUUCCACCUCCUGCUUGUUGAGCCCAACCAGCUAUGACUCAGUCAACCACCAGCCUCCGUCUGUCGGCCCGGCCUGUGUCACUACCUGCCUUCACAGGCUCACGUAGAGUUUCAGGUGAAUGCCCAGAUCAACCAUGUUGCAGGAAUACGAGUCUGAAGGUGAUUUUGGUGCGACCCACACCUGCCCAGUAUGCUGGAGGUUCCCAUGAGGUGUUAACCUGCCCUUCCUUGCACUGACCACAAACCAGAUGACGAAGAACCAGUAGCUGCCCUGAAUCAGGAUCUGAAAUGUUCUCCAAACUUAUCACCUGCUAAAGAGAAGCAGACCUCAUCUCUAUUUUUAGACAAAGGCUUAAAGCUUUUCCUUCUUUUAGACUUAGCUACUGUAGAGAUGGCUCUAGUCACUGCUUUGGAGUUCUAUUUCCCUCACCUUCUUCCUCUCUAUCCACUAACAUGCCUCCGUUGUACUACACGUCAUUAUCUAUGCGUUUCUCCAUCUCUGUACCUUUCUAUGGACAUCUUCAGACUUGGAGCUGUGUGCCUCCAGUGUCAGGGUCUGAUUCCUAUCAGCUCCUUCUUUUGUCCCUGUUCACCUCCUACAAUCAGCUAUAAUAAUAAUAAUAAUAAAAUAUUACUGCCCAUCUCCCCACGGACAGUUUGUAUUUUGUCCUUGAUCACUUUCCAAGCAGCUUUUUGUUUCAGCCAUUUCUCCUGCCAGCUCCUGUUUGUGACCUGCAUUGGUUCUGACUCUGGCCUUGGCCUGUUCCCUGCCCGUCAUGGUUGGUGAAUCCUUCAACCUUGGUCUGAUCGCUGCUUCUACCUGAGCAGCUUAUGGUCUCAGAGCUACAGUAGUAGUGGAAUUUUGGUGAGUGUGUGAGCUCAGUGGGAUAAAGCCCUGCUUCAGUCCCAGUCUGUGAUUUACCUUCUUGCUAUAAAACAAACAUCAGCUUCUAUUCCUUCUGCAGCUACUCGAUCCCAAAGACCUGGUUCCUCCUCUGGUCCAGUGUUUUAUACAAUAACUGCUUGAAAAUAAAUUAAAUAACUUGUUUAAGUGGGAUUAGUUGGGUUUUCUAUCUACUGUGGGUUGUGUUUUUGAAUUCUGUAAGGUCGAAAAUCUCUCUUUAAAAAGUGCCUUGAGAUAUUUUUGUUGAGUUGGUGCUGAAUGAAUAUAAAUGAAGUGAACAGAAGUGUGUUGCUGUGAACCUGCUUCUUGGGUAAACAGUGAUCAUAUAUCACAGCGAUGUCUCAUAUCAACCAUUUGGAACUCGGGGAAUGACUGCCUUCCUGCUCAAGUAGCAUCUGGAGGCUCUUGUCCUCUGGGGCUCUGCACUAUAGAAAACCCUUUCUCUAAUGGCUUCUUCACAACCACUGCUGGUCUGUCUCUGUUAUUACUGUACCAAGAAGAACCUGAGCUUGGUCUACGUAGACCUCAGCCUUCAGUGAAGCUCUUGGGAAAGGCUGCUUUCCAUGUUAACACCUGAACAACGAACCACAGAAAAGUAGUAUAUCCUUCUUAGCCAAUGGGAUGAUGGU